CUUCUUCUUUCUUCUUUUAUCUCCUGUUUCUCCUCUUCUUCUCGUUUCUUUUUCUUUCCUACUUUGUUGCCGUUCGAGAGAUGAAAUUUAGGAUUUAAGUUGUUUGACUGAUGCAAUAACUAGAUGAAUCAAAGACGGGGUCGUUGUUGGAGUUGUUUAAGUUCUGGAAGAAGGAUUGAGAAUAAGAAGUUAGGGUUUCAUGAAGAUAAGAUUGAUUAAAGGUUUUUGUAGAACUGAAUAUGAAAUAGAUCAAUUGGAGAUGGGUUUUCAUUGUUGUUAGCAAAGAAGGGAAAUUAGAGUUCGAUUCUCAAAUCGCAGUGAAGGAUUAAGAAAUUAGGGUUUCUGUAAUUUCUAUUGGAAUUCGAUUUGAUAAAGGAUUAAGAAGAGUUAGACGGAUUGAAUUAAAGGAUGGGUUUGAUAGUUUUGAAGAGUUAGUUUGAAGUUUGAGUUUGAAUUAAGGUUCAGUUUAGAAUUGAUGGUGAUGUUGGAAAUGUUUUGUGCUGGAUAAUUUGAGGUUGUGGAUGUUGUUUUGAAGUUGUUAAUGAAAUUAGGGUUGAGCUUUUGAAUUCGGGAUUUUGUUCAGAGUUUUAGAGAAUAACACCAUGGAUGGUGUUGAGGAAAUAUUAAGAAUGGAUUGAGUUGAAUUGUGGAGUCUUGGAUGUUCUUUGAGAUGUGUUGGUGAAUCAAAAUCAAGGUGAGAAGCGGAAUCUGAUUAAGUUGCUUGAGGAAAUUUACUUUGAGGUACACUUGAUAGUGCUAAAAUGAACUGAAUUGAAGAUAGAUAAUGGGUUGGUUAAUGUUGUGGAAAGAAACUGAAUGUGCAGAGAGUAUAAGAUGGUUGUGUAUGAAUUCUGAAGAUGACUGCAGAGAGUAUAAUGGAUUGAACUACUAGACUUCUGAUCCAAGAAGCAUAGUACAGGGUUUUUGAGGGAGCCUUAUAAUAAUUAGUAUCACUGAAUGGGAUGUUGUGACUGAAGUAUUAGAAAGUGAAGUAGAUGAAUGUGUUCAGUUGGACCUCUCUAGUGAAAGCUUAAAGCUGCAAUUGCAGGUAAGCUGAAUUGUGAUGCAUUUGUAAAUUUAUUUGUAUUCUAUGUACUAUUGUAUUGAAUUGAUAUUGAAAUGUUAUAAUGGUAGAUAAAGGUGUAAGAAUUAGAUUUA